AGCUUGCUGGGCGGAUUAGUGGCGAACGGGUGAGUAAUACGUGAGUAACCUGCCCCUGACUCUGGGAUAAGCCUGGGAAACCGGGUCUAAUACUGGAUACGACCUCCUACCGCAUGGUGGGGGGUGGAAAGGGUUCACUGGUUUUGGAUGGGCUCACGGCCUAUCAGCUUGUUGGUGGGGUAAUGGCUCACCAAGGCGACGACGGGUAGCCGGCCUGAGAGGGUGACCGGCCACACUGGGACUGAGACACGGCCCAGACUCCUACGGGAGGCAGCAGUGGGGAAUAUUGCACAAUGGGCGAAAGCCUGAUGCAGCGACGCCGCGUGAGGGAUGACGGCCUUCGGGUUGUAAACCUCUUUCAGUAGGGAAGAAGCGCAAGUGACGGUACCUGCAGAAGAAGCGCCGGCUAACUACGUGCCAGCAGCCGCGGUAAUACGUAGGGCGCAAGCGUUGUCCGGAAUUAUUGGGCGUAAAGAGCUCGUAGGCGGUUUGUCGCGUCCGCUGUGAAAGCCCGGGGCUCAACCCCGGGUCGGCAGUGGGUACGGGCAGACUAGAGUGCAGUAGGGGAGACUGGAAUUCCUGGUGUAGCGGUGAAAUGCGCAGAUAUCAGGAGGAACACCGAUGGCGAAGGCAGGUCUCUGGGCUGUUACUGACGCUGAGGAGCGAAAGCAUGGGGAGCGAACAGGAUUAGAUAC
rnacentral:rRNA from 1 species